GUUAGAACAUGUCCUCCUCUUCUAAAUUACAUGCCGUGGAGACACAAAGGAUUGCCAGAUUCCUAAGGUGGAAGCUGUGGUCAUUCAUUCGAGACACUUAUGUAGACAUAAAAACAGGCCUUUAGUGCUACAAAUUUCCCUCUAAUACCAACUGCGUUCGGACCCCUGUCGGAUAGGAAAUCCCAAGUAAGGUACCUGCCAUCGGCAGAUUUGAGCUUUCUUCUUGGACACCUGAUACCCACAGUCCUCCAGGCUCCGGUAGAUUGCAAAUAACCUGCUUUCUUUCUGUUCCCGGGCUGCCUUCGGAACCCUGUGGGAGAGUAAAUCCCUAGUAAGGUACCUGCCGUUGACAGAUUUGAGCUUUCUUCUUGGACACCUAAUACCCACAGUCCUCCAGGUGUGAAAGAAAUACUCAAGUGACUGUGUUGCUGGUGGGAAAAAGCGUAUCAUUUCCUGGGGUCUUCAGGGUACAGUUGUGCUCAAAAUUAAACACUUCUAGGGAUUAUGCUGUGACCCUUUUAAUAUGUGCUUUUAAUUUUUUUCAUUUCUUAAUACUCUUUUUUCUAUACUCAAUGGUGCAAGCUUCUGGUUUUCUACUGGCUCCUUAUUUAAGAAUGUGAAAACAUCCAGAUAUUUGAGAGGGUAGAAGUGGAAAUUAGGAAUGCCUAAACAAACUCUAAAAGAAGAAUUUUAGCAGUAUUAAUUUAUUGGCUUUAUCAAUUAAUUGGUAUUAUGGCUACUAUCCUAACUACUUGAAUCCCUACUUGGUCAAUAACAAAUAUUAUGAAAAUAUCUAAGCUUUUCUUCUGGCCUAUAAAAUUUAAAAAAUUAGCAAAACAUAUCACGUUGAAGACAUUCAUUUUUCACAGAGAGCAGUGAAGGCAUUUCUCUAUUUCCUUUCCCCCAUCCUACCCUAGGAUUGCUCUGCAGUAUUCAUGUGUUAGUAUAGGUCAACAAAAAGCAC
ensembl:lncRNA novel transcript